ACUGUUCAACGGCCGCGGUAUCCUAACCGUGCGAAGGUAGCGUAAUCACUUGUUCUUUAAAUGAGGACUAGUAUGAAAGGCACCACGAGAGUCAUACUGUCUCCUUUUUUCAAUCAGUUAAACUAAUCUCCCCGUGAAGAAGCGAGGAUAACUAUAUAAGACGAGAAGACCCUAUGGAGCUUUAAACGAAUAACACUUGCCCACUUACUCCUUUAAAUUUCAGAAAAAUCUAUUACCUUGGCAUCAUACUUAUAAGUUUUUGAUUGGGGUGAUCACGGAACAAAAAAUAACCUCCGCAAUGAAAGACUCUCCAUAACUAAGUCAAGAACCACAACUCUACACAUCAACAAAUUGACACCAAUUGACCCA
rnacentral:rRNA from 1 species